rnacentral:rRNA from 1 species
UAGGGAAUCUUCCGCAAUGGACGCAAGUCUGACGGAGCAACGCCGCGUGAGUGAAGAAGGAUUUCGGUUCGUAAAACUCUGUUGUUAGAGAAGAACAGCGCAUAGAGUAACUGUUAUGCGUGUGACGGUAUCUAACCAGAAAGCCACGGCUAACUACGUGCCAGCAGCCGCGGUAAUACGUAGGUGGCAAGCGUUGUCCGGAUUUAUUGGGCGUAAAGCGAGCGCAGGCGGUCAAUUAAGUCUGAUGUGAAAGCCCCCGGCUCAACCGGGGAGGGUCAUUGGAGACUGGUUGAGUUGAGUGCAGAAGAGGAGAGUGGAAUUCCAUGUGUAGCGGUGAAAUGCGUAGAUAUAUGGAGGAACCCCAGUGGCGAAGGCGACUCUUUGGUCUGUAACUGACGCUGAGGCUCGAAAGCGUGGGUAGCAAACAGG